UACGUAGGGUGCGAGCGUUGUCCGGAAUUAUUGGGCGUAAAGAGCUUGUAGGCGGUUUGUCGCGUCUGCCGUGAAAAUCCGGGGCUCAACCCCGGACUUGCGGUGGGUACGGGCAGACUAGAGUGUGGUAGGGGAGACUGGAAUUCCUGGUGUAGCGGUGAAAUGCGCAGAUAUCAGGAGGAACACCGAUGGCGAAGGCAGGUCUCUGGGCAUUAACUGACGCUGAGGAGCGAAAAGCAUGGGGGAGCGAACAGG
rnacentral:rRNA from 1 species